AUGGUCCUUCGAGGUGCCGCCGCCGCCGCCCGACCUGCGCCUUCGCGCCACUUCGCGCCCUCGGGCGAGGCCGAGGGGGUGGGGACGACUACCGCAGCGCCGCCGGGGCUCGCGCUCCUCCGCGAAGCUCUCCUCGCGGGGCGGGCCGGCCGGCCGCACCCCCGGCCUGGGGCCUCCGGUCGUAGUAAAGCGCAGGCGGGCGGGGAGGCGGGAGCAGGAGCCCGCGGCCGGCCAGCCGAAGAUGGUGGCGGCUACUCCUCCUGUCAUACACGUGGACCUAACUGCACCAGUAGCUUUUCUGAGAAUACUUGCUGAAAAGGAAGUUUUCUGGAAUGGAAUAGUCAAGGAGAGCCUCUGGAGAAGAGCAUGCGGUCUGGAUUUGGAAGCCUCAGUUUGAUUUCUGGCUUUGUCACUUACCUUAGGCAUUCAAUAUAGGUGGCUUCCAGACAAUCUUUCCAUACUUGGUGGUUAGAGCAGAAGAGAUUCAUGAAGAGCACUGCCCUUUGAAACAAAAUCUCAUAUUCAGAAAACUGAUGCCAAACACCAAGUAGCAUGAUUUCACUCUGAAGCAGUGUUUCAGCCAUUGCCCUGGAAUGGUUUUAAAGCAAGUGAUAUACUGCUGAAAGUGCUGCCUUUGAUAUUAAAUGUUCAUUAAAAAUCU
rnacentral:lncRNA from 1 species